GCAUCAGUGGUUUAGUGGUAAAAUCCAUCGUUGCCAAAACGCGACAUUCGAUGGGCCCCGUGUUCGAUUCACGGCUGAUGCA
rnacentral:tRNA from 2 species